AAUUCGCCCUUGAGCACGUAGGUGGGUUUGUAAGUCAGAUGUGAAAGCCUUCUGUUCAACGGAAGAAUUGCAUCUGAAACUACGAGUCUUGAGUGUAGGAGGGGAGAAUGGAACUUCUGGUGGAGCGGUGAAAUCCGUAGAUAUCAGAAGGAACGCCGGCGGCGAAAGCGAUUCUCUGGCCUAUUACUGACACCCAGUGUGCGAAAGCUAGGGGAGCAAACGGGAUUAGAUACCCCAGUAGUCCUAGCCGUAAACGAUGGGCACUAAGUAGAGGGGAUUACCGACGUUCUCUCUGCCGUAGCUAACGCAUUAAGUGCCCCGCCUGGGGAGUACGGCCGCAAGGCUAAAACUCAAAAGAAUUGACGGGGGCUCGCACAAGCGGUGGAGCACGUGGCUUAAUUCGAUGCAACGCGAAGAACCUUACCGGGGCUUGACAUGGUAGAAGUAGGAACCCGAAAGGGUAACGAACGGUAUCCAGUCCGUAGCUAUCACAGGUGUUGCAUGGCUGUCGUCAGCUCGUGUCGUGAGACGUUGGGUUAGGUCCCCUAACGAGCGAAACCCUUGUUUUUAGUUACCAGCGGGUUGUGCCGGGUACUCUAGAAAGACUGCCGUCGUCAAGACGGAGGAAGGUGGGGAUGACGUCAAGUCAUCGUGGCCCUUAUGCCCCGGGCUGCACACGCGCUACAAUGGUCGGUACAAACGGAAGCGAAGCCGAGAGGUGAAGCGAAUCCAAGGGCGAAUU
rnacentral:rRNA from 1 species